rnacentral:misc_RNA from 1 species
UGAGGUAUUUGGUUAUGGCAAUGCACUGAAAGAAUCUGUACCUGGGGUCAAUUUGUUAUGAUUAUUUUUUAUAAUUUGAUGAAGAUGAUGACAAUAUUUUAAAAUAUAUUUAUUUAGCUUUCUUAAAAAUUCGAUGAUGCACCAAGAGAAGAUAACUCUUGGAAAGAUUCAGGCUUACUGAAUGUACAGAAGAUGCAAUAAUGAAGCCCUCUCCCAAUUUUGGGGGUGGGAAAAGGGAACUCUUCAAAGAACAUCAGAUAAACAACAAUUGAAGAGGGCUACAUUCUUGCUGUUUAACUGAAAGUUUUGAGUCUUUAGUGUAUUUUUGUUACACAAGAAUGUGUGAGUGAAUCUUUGUGGAUAUCAAUAAAUCAUGUUAAUGCC